rnacentral:tRNA from 1 species
GUCCGUGUAUUUUAAUUUAAAAUACAAAUUUGUGGUGUUUGAGAUAAGUAGUGCUUUGCGGGCA